CCAAGUUUUGCUGUGAGGCACCGUAAUGCAUAAUUUAGAAAGUUGCUAUCCGGUCUGGUAGCAGGAGAAGAUGGCGNUCUCCACAGGAGUUAAAGUUCCUCGUAAUUUUCGCUUGUUGGAAGAACUUGAAGAAGGACAAAAAGGAGUAGGUGAUGGUACUGUUAGCUGGGGCCUUGAAGAUGAUGAAGACAUGACACUUACAAGGUGGACAGGCAUGAUUAUUGGGCCACCAAGGACAAACUAUGAAAACAGAAUAUAUAGCCUGAAAGUAGAAUGUGGAUCUAAAUACCCAGAAGCUCCUCCAUCAGUUAGAUUUGUAACAACAAUGAAUAUGAAUGGAAUCAAUAAUUCCAGUGGAAUGGUGGAUGCACGGAGCAUACCAGUAUUAGCAACAUGGCAAAAUUCCUAUAGCAUUAAAGUCAUACUUCAAGAGUUAAGACGUCUUAUGAUGUCCAAAGAAAAUAUGAAGCUUCCACAGCCUCCAGAAGGACAGACGUACAACAACUAACUUUAGUGGAUCUCAAACUUGUCUUAAAUCAGCAACCUUCUACUCAUGUUAAUGUCUUGAUUAAAUGUCACCAUGCAAAAUACCCACACAUUAAGUAAAAAGAAUUGCAGCUGGUAAACAUGACCUGGACAGUUGUAAGAAUAUAUUUAAUAUAUGUACACCUAUUAUGUUUUCAGGUAACAAGAGACAGCACAAUUUUUCUUUCUCUUAAAGCACUGUCAUUUAAACAUGAACCUGAAGUACUCAAAAUGGAAUUCAGGUUUUCAAGACAAAAGCAUGACAAAAGAGUGUCAGAUGGCCAUGGAAACAUUUGUUUUUCUGGAAAGUAAAGUCUCAAGAAGGAAGAACAGAAAUGGCAUGCUUUAUCAUAUUUAGAGCUGCAGUUGGAAUUGUUUAAAGUAGCAGAUA